rnacentral:rRNA from 1 species
AGCCUUUAGUUUGAUAACCCGAAACUAAGUGAGCUACUCCAAGACAGCCUAUUAAUAGGGCAAACCCGUCUCUGUGGCAAAAGAGUGGGAAGAGCUUUGAGUAGAGGUGACAGACCUACCGAACUUAGUUAUAGCUGGUUGCCUGGGAAUUGGAUAGAAGUUCAGCCUCCCGGAUUCUUUAUUCACAUCAGUCUCACACCUUCUGAUACCCCUAAGAAGCCGAGAGAGUUAGUCAAAGGGGGUACAGCCCCUUUGAACCAAGACACAACUUUUCCAGGAGGGUAAAGAUCAUAAUAAAUAAGGUAAAAUAUUUUGGUGGGCCUAAAAGCAGCCACCCCUAUAGAAAGCGUUAAAGCUCAGAUAUAUUACUAAACCCCCUAUACUGAUCAUCAAAUCUUAUCCCCCUAAUUCUACCAGGGCCGCCCAUGCAUACAUGGGAGUGACCCUGCUAAUAUGAGUAAUAAGAGAGCCUAUGCCUCUCUUCUUGCACACAUUGUAAAUCGGAGCGGACCCCCCACCGAACCUUAGCGGCCCAAAAAAAGAGGGUCUGACCACAGACCAAACCUCUUGGAAAAACUUUAAGGAACAACCGUUACCCCACACAGGGGUGCCCCUAAGGAAAGGUUAAAAGAAGGGGACGAACUCGGAAAACACAUGAAGCCUCCCUGUUACCAAAAACAUCGCUUUUUGGAAAAAUUAAAAACAAGAGGGCCCCCCCGCCCUGGGAAUUAUUAGUUAAACGGCCGGGGAUUUUGACCGUGCAAAGGUAGCGCAAUCACUUGUC